rnacentral:lncRNA from 1 species
CCUUUUACUGGAGCUGUACAGUGGAGUCGUCAUACACGUGGACCUAACUGCACCAGUAGCUUUUCUGAGAAUACUUGCUGAAAAGGAAGUUUUCUGGAAUGGUAUUUGCUAAGUGGAAGCCAGAAGAGGAGGAAAAUGUUUUGCCACGUGGAUGUGAAGAUUUCCUCUAAAAGGCAGACCUGUCUAACUACAAGCCAGACUUGGGUUUUCUCCUGUAGUUUGAAGACACACUGACUCCUGACAAAAUGCAGCCUGCAACUUCCUGGAGAACAACUCAGUGUCACAUUAAAGUUUAUUAUGUAUUUAAUGAUACACUGUUUAAUUGACAGUUUUGCAUAGUUUGUCUAACUUUAGAGAAUUAAGAGCCUCUCAACUGAGCAGUAAAGGUAAGGAGAGCUCAAUCUGCACAGAGCCAGUUUUUAGUGUUUGAUGGAAAUAAGAUCAUCAUGCCCACUUGAGACUUCAGAUUAUUCUUUAGCUUAGUGGUUGUAUGAGUUACAUCUUAUUAAAGUCGAAAUUAAUGUAGUUUUCUGCCUUGAUAACAUUUCAUAUGUGGUAUUAGUUUUAAAGGGUCAUUAGGAAAAUGCACAUAUUCCAUGAAUUUUAAGACCCAUAGAAAAGUUGAAGAAUGCUUAAUUUUCUUAUCCAGUAAUGUAAACACAGAGACAGAACAUUGAGAUGUGCCUAGUUCUGUAUUUACAGUUUGGUCUGGCUGUUUGAGUUCUAGCGCAUUUAAUGUUAAUAAAUAAAAUACUGCAUUUUAAAGCUGUUAAGAAAUUGUCCAGAACGAGAAUAUUGAAAUAAAAACUUCAAGGUUAUUAUCGCA